AGAGUUUGAUCAUGGCUCAGGACGAACGCUGGCGGCGUGCUUAACACAUGCAAGUCGAGCGGAAAGGCUUCCUUCGGGAAGUACUCGAGCGGCGAACGGGUGAGUAACACGUGGAUAAUCAACCUCUUGCUCUGGAAUACCCCGGGGAAACUCGGAUCAAUGCCAGAUAAAGUGCGGUGCUGUCGGGCGCCGUACCAAAGAUAGCUUCGGCCUUCGGCGAGAGACGAGUCCGCGGCCCAUUAGCUAGUUGGCGGGGUAAUGGCCCACCAAGGCUACGAUGGGUAGCUGGUCUGAGAGGAUGAUCAGCCACACUGGGACUGAGACACGGCCCAGACUCCUACGGGAGGCAGCAGUGGGGAAUCUUGCGCAAUGGGCGAAAGCCUGACGCAGCAACGCCGCGUGCGGGAGGAAGGCCUUCGGGUUGUAAACCGCUUUCAGGGGAGACGAAGCUUCCAGGGUGAAUAGCUCUGUGGAGUGACGGUAUCUUCAGAAGAAGUCCCGGCUAACUACGUGCCAGCAGCCGCGGUGAUACGUAGGGGACAAGCGUUGUCCGGAAUUAUUGGGCGUAAAGCGCGUGUAGGCGGCCAAGUAAGUCUUACGUGAAAUCCUGAGGCUCAACCUCAGGCCUGCGCGGGAUACUGCUUGGCUAGAGUCCGGAAGAGGAGAGUGGAAUUCCUGGUGUAGCGGUGGAAUGCGCAGAUAUCAGGAGGAACAUCCGUGGCGAAGGCGGCUCUCUGGGACGGUACUGACGCUGAGACGCGAAAGCGUGGGGAGCGAACAGGAUUAGAUACCCNNGUAGUCC
rnacentral:rRNA from 1 species